rnacentral:rRNA from 1 species
GUGCCAGCAGCCGCGGUAAUUCCAUGUCUCCAAUAGCGUAUAUUAAAGUUGUUGUGGUUAAAAAGCUCGUAGUUGAACCUUGGGCCUGGCUGGCCGGUCCGCCUCACCGCGUGCACUGGUCCGGCCGGGCCUUUCCCUCUGUGGAACCCCAUACCCUUCACUGGGCGUGGCGGGGAAACAGGACAUUUACUUUGAAAAAAUUAGAGUGCUCCAGGCAGGCCUAUGCUCGAAUACAUUAGCAUGGAAUAAUAAAAUAGGACACGCGGUUCUAUUUUGCUGGUUUAUAGGACCGCCGUAAUGAUUAAUAGGGGCAGUCGGGGGCAUCAGUAUUCAACUGUCAGAGGUGAAAUUCUUGGAUCAGUUGAAGACUAACUACUGCGAAAGCAUUUGCCAAGGAUGUUUUCAUUAAUCAGGAACGAAAGUUAGGGGAUCGAAGACGAUCAGAUACCGUCGUAGUCUUAACCAUAAACUAUGCCGACUAGGGAUCGGACGGUGUUAUUCAUGACCCGUUCGGCACCUUACGAGAAAUCAAAGUGCUUGGGCUCCAGGGGGAGUAUGGUCGCAAGGCUGAAACUUAAAGAAAUUGACGGAAGGGCACCACCAGGGGUGGAGCCUGCGGCUUAAUUUGACUCAACACGGGGAAACUCACCAGGUCCAGACACAAUAAGGAUUGACAGAUUGAGAGCUCUUUCUUGAUUUUGUGGUGGUGUGCAUGGCCGUUCUUAGUUGGUGGGGUGACUUGUCUGCUUAAUUGCGAUAACGAACGAGACCUUAACCUGCUAAAUAGCCCGCAUUGCUCCGGCAGUGCGCUGGCUUCUUAGAGGGACUUCGGCUCAGCCGAAGGAAGUUUGAGCAUAACAGU